rnacentral:rRNA from 1 species
UACGUAGGGGGCGAGCGUUACCCGGAUUUACUGGGCGUAAAGAGCGUGUAGGCGGCUGGCCAAGUGUGACGUGAAAUCUCCCGGCUCAACCGGGAAACUGCGUUGCAAACUGGUCUGGCUCGAGUGCAGGAGAGGGUUGUGGAAUUCCCGGUGUAGCGGUGAAAUGCGUAGAGAUCGGGAGGAACACCAGUGGCGAAGGCGACAACCUGGCCUGUAACUGACGCUGA